AACGAACGCUGGCGGCAUGCCUAACACAUGCAAGUCGAACGAGAUCUUCGGGUCUAGUGGCGCACGGGUGCGUAACGCGUGGGAAUCUGCCCUUUGGUUCGGAAUAACAGUUGGAAACGACUGCUAAUACCGGAUGAUGACGAAAGUCCAAAGAUUUAUCGCCAGAGGAUGAGCCCGCGUAGGAUUAGCUAGUUGGUGUGGUAAAGGCGCACCAAGGCGACGAUCCUUAGCUGGUCUGAGAGGAUGAUCAGCCACACUGGGACUGAGACACGGCCCAGACUCCUACGGGAGGCAGCAGUGGGGAAUAUUGGACAAUGGGCGCAAGCCUAAUCCAGCCAUGCCGCGUGAGUGAUGACGGCCUUAGGGUUGUAAAGCUCUUUCGUCCGGGACGAUAAUGACGGUACCGGAAGAAGAAGCCCCGGCUAACUUCGUGCCAGCCGCCGCCGUAA
rnacentral:rRNA from 1 species